CAGUACCGUGAGGGAAAGGCGAAAAGAACCCCGGCGAGGGGAGUGAAAAAGAACCUGAAACCGUGUACGUACAAGCAGUGGGAGCCUCUUUAUGGGGUGACUGCGUACCUUUUGUAUAAUGGGUCAGCGACUUAUAUUCUGUAGCAAGGUUAACCGAAUAGGGGAGCCGAAGGGAAACCGAGUCUUAACUGGGCGUUAAGUUGCAGGGUAUAGACCCGAAACCCGGUGAUCUAGCCAUGGGCAGGUUGAAGGUUGGGUAACACUAACUGGAGGACCGAACCGACUAAUGUUGAAAAAUUAGCGGAUGACUUGUGGCUGGGGGUGAAAGGCCAAUCAAACCGGGAGAUAGCUGGUUCUCCCCGAAAGCUAUUUAGGUAGCGCCUCGUGAAUUCAUCUCCGGGGGUAGAGCACUGUUUCGGCAAGGGGGUCAUCCCGACUUACCAACCCGAUGCAAACUGCGAAUACCGGAGAAUGUUAUCACGGGAGACACACGGCGGGUGCUAACGUCCGUCGUGAAGAGGGAAACAACCCAGACCGCCAGCUAAGGUCCCAAAGUCAUGGUUAAGUGGGAAACGAUGUGGGAAGGCCCAGACAGCCAGGAUGUUGGCUUAGAAGCAGCCAUCAUUUAAAGAAAGCGUAAUAGCUCACUGGUCGAGUCGGCCUGCGCGGAAGAUGUAACGGGGCUAAACCAUGCACCGAAGCUGCGGCAGCGACGCUUAUGCGUUGUUGGGUAGGGGAGCGUUCUGUAAGCCUGCGAAGGUGUACUGUGAGGUAUGCUGGAGGUAUCAGAAGUGCGAAUGCUGACAUAAGUAACGAUAAAGCGGGUGAAAAGCCCGCUCGCCGGAAGACCAAGGGUUCCUGUCCAACGUUAAUCGGGGCAGGGUGAGUCGACCCCUAAGGCGAGGCCGAAAGGCGUAGUCGAUGGGAAACAGGUUAAUAUUCCUGUACUUGGUGUUACUGCGAAGGGGGGACGGAGAAGGCUAUGUUGGCCGGGCGACGGUUGUCCCGGUUUAAGCGUGUAGGCUGGUUUUCCAGGCAAAUCCGGAAAAUCAAGGCUGAGGCGUGAUGACGAGGCACUACGGUGCUGAAGCAACAAAUGCCCUGCUUCCAGGAAAAGCCUCUAAGCAUCAGGUAACAUCAAAUCGUACCCCAAACCGACACAGGUGGUCAGGUAGAGAAUACCAAGGCGCUUGAGAGAACUCGGGUGAAGGAACUAGGCAAAAUGGUGCCGUAACUUCGGGAGAAGGCACGCUGAUAUGUAGGUGAAGUCCCUCGCGGAUGGAGCUGAAAUCAGUCGAAGAUACCAGCUGGCUGCAACUGUUUAUUAAAAACACAGCACUGUGCAAACACGAAAGUGGACGUAUACGGUGUGACGCCUGCCCGGUGCCGGAAGGUUAAUUGAUGGGGUUAGCGGUAACGCGAAGCUCUUGAUCGAAGCCCCGGUAAACGGCGGCCGUAACUAUAACGGUCCUAAGGUAGCGAAAUUCCUUGUCGGGUAAGUUCCGACCUGCACGAAUGGCGUAAUGAUGGCCAGGCUGUCUCCACCCGAGACUCAGUGAAAUUGAACUCGCUGUGAAGAUGCAGUGUACCCGCGGCAAGACGGAAAGACCCCGUGAACCUUUACUAUAGCUUGACACUGAACAUUGAGCCUUGAUGUGUAGGAUAGGUGGGAGGCUUUGAAGUGUGGACGCCAGUCUGCAUGGAGCCGACCUUGAAAUACCACCCUUUAAUGUUUGAUGUUCUAACGUUGGCCCCUAAUCGGGGUUGCGGACAGUGUCUGGUGGGUAGUUUGACUGGGGCGGUCUCCUCCUAAAGAGUAACGGAGGAGCACGAAGGUUGGCUAAUCCUGGUCGGACAUCAGGAGGUUAGUGCAAUGGCAUAAGCCAGCUUGACUGCGAGCGUGACGGCGCGAGCAGGUGCGAAAGCAGGUCAUAGUGAUCCGGUGGUUCUGAAUGGAAGGGCCAUCGCUCAACGGAUAAAAGGUACUCCGG
rnacentral:rRNA from 1 species